rnacentral:rRNA from 1 species
AGCACGUUAUGGUGGGCACUCUAAGGAGGACUGCCGGUGACAAACCGGAGGAAGGUGGGGAUGACGUCAAGUCAUCAUGGCCCUUACGGCCUGGGCUACACACGUGCUACAAUGGUCGGUACAAAGGGUUGCCAAGCCGCGAGGUGGAGCUAAUCCCAUAAAACCGAUCGUAGUCCGGAUCGCAGUCUGCAACUCGACUGCGUGAAGUUGGAAUCGCUAGUAAUCGUGGAUCAGCAUGCCACGGUGAAUACGUUCCCGGGCCUU